UCGUGAACGUUACCUACAUCGUUGCUUCGGCGGGUGGCGGGCUUCGGCCCUGCCCUCGGCCCCUCUCGGGGGCCCGCCGGAGGUACACCAAACUCUUGAAUUUACAUGGCCUCUCUGAGUCUUCUGUACUGAAUAAGUCAAAACUUUCAACAACGGAUCUCUUGGUUCUGGCAUCGAUGAAGAACGCAGCGAAAUGCGAUAAGUAAUGUGAAUUGCAGAAUUCAGUGAAUCAUCGAAUCUUUGAACGCACAUUGCGCCCGCCAGUAUUCUGGCGGGCAUGCCUGUCCGAGCGUCAUUUCAACCAUCAAGCCCCCGGCUUGUGUUGGGGACCUGCGGCACACCCGCAGGCCCUGAAAACCAGUGGCGGGCUCGCUGUCCACACCGAGCGUAGUAGCAUAUCUUUGUCUCGCUCAGGGCGUGCGGCGGGUUCCGGCCGUGAAACCCACCUUCUCGAAGGUACCCAAAGGUUGACCUCGGAUCAGGUAGGAAGACCCGCUGAACUUAAGCAUAUCAAU
rnacentral:rRNA from 1 species